UGGUUCUGGCAUCGAUGAAGAACGCAGCGAAAUGCGAUAAGUAAUGCGAAUUGCAGAAUUCCAGUGAGUCAUCGAAUCUUUGAACGCACAUUGCGCCCUUUGGUAUUCCGAAGGGCAUGCCUGUUCGAGCGUCAUUAUCACCCCUCGAGCCCCCGGGCUUGGUGUUGGACGGCCGGUCGAGCGAUCGAUCCCUCCGAAAGACAAUGACGGCGGCCUGCGGUUCCCCCGGUACACUGAGCUUCUCACCGAGCACGUACCGGACGAGGGCACCCGGGUCCCGGUCUCCUCCUUUGGCACAAAGGAAAAACUUCUAUGGUUGACCUCGGAUCAGGUAGGAACACGCGCUGA
rnacentral:misc_RNA from 1 species